CAGAGUUGCAAGACUCCCUAAACCAUUGUGAACCUACCUUCUACCGUUGCUUCGGCGGGCGGGCCCAGCGCCCCCCCGGCCCCCCGCGGGCGCCCGCCGGAGGAUACCCAAACUCUUGACGUUAGUGGCCUCUCUGAGUAUUCUUUACUGAAUAAGUCA
rnacentral:misc_RNA from 1 species